UACAGAGGCCUCGAGCGUUAGGCGGAAUCACUGGGUUUAAAGGGUGCGUAGGCGGCCUAUUAAGUCAGGGGUGAAAGACGGUGGCUCAACCAUCGCAGUGCCUUUGAUACUGAUAGGCUUGAAUACACUAGAGGUAGGCGGAAUGUGACAAGUAGCGGUGAAAUGCAUAGAUAUGUCACAGAACACCGAUUGCGAAGGCAGCUUACUAUGGUGUCAUUGACGCUGAGGCACGAAAGCGUGGGGAUCAAACAGG
rnacentral:rRNA from 1 species